GGGAAAAUCAAAAUUACUAAGGAACUUCGAACAAAUGUAUAAAAAAAAAGUUCAUAGGGGAUAUAACACUCUUACCCCCCCUCCUGCGAGUAUGUCCCUGCCGAGAAGCGUAUACCAGAUAGUACUAAUGUUUAAUACUAAACUACAUCGGCAUGCGAGCGACCUAUGAAUUUGUUCAACAAUAUUAUAUCAACAUUAACGGGCAUAUCCCGAAAAUUAGGUUAUUCGAC